rnacentral:lncRNA from 1 species
UGUUGUUCUUCACUUCUGCUUUCCUCAGGAAAUAAGUGCAGCAGCUCAUCAAGUGAUUCACAGUGGAAAGUUCAAAGAACAGAGUGAGAGCUACUGCAUGCACCAAAGUGCCUAAUUGGACAGAAGCAAUAAAGCUCUCUUUAUCUGUAUGUCCCUACUGACUGUAAGAGGAGCUGCUGGAUCUAGGAGCCCAGUAUGGACAAAGCAGCUGAGCUCAUGUGGCAACUGGAAGAUUCACCUUGCGAAGCAGGACAACAAGAGCAAAGCCCUGAUGAUGUCAAUAAAUCAGAAGUGCCUGAACAGCCCGCACAAAGAAAGGACAACCUACCCCAGAGUCAUACUCUCCAGUGGGAGACUCUAUGCAGACAAUUUGUAGAAUAUGAGCAGGUGGCUCCAUUUCUCAUCCCGGAGGAACAACAGAGAAGGCUGCUGGACUUUCUUCCCCUCUUCCUAAAGGCUUGGGAACAGUCUGCUGGAGUAAUUGUAUUCCCUAGCGUUCAGCUGCUAGCCGGUGAGGUUUCCAAGCUUCUGACAAAGGAGAU